rnacentral:misc_RNA from 1 species
UCAAACUUGGUCAUUUAGAGGAAGUAAAAGUCGUAACAAGGUUUCCGUAGGUGAACCUGCGGAAGGAUCAUUAAAAGUGUUAAGUAGUUCCAUUAUGCUAGGUCAGGCGUAAAUGGAAAAUGGAAAAGAGAGAUGAUUGAUGAAUUCCGACCACCGUCGGUUUUAAUUGAAUCAAUUAUUCGCAAGCAAUGAUAUGAGAUGCGCGAAUCUUUUAAUAAUUUUAUGAAAUUUUACGUAAUCAAAUAUCAAAACUUUCGACAACGGAUCUCUUGGCUCUCGCAUCGAUGAAGAACGCAGC